rnacentral:rRNA from 1 species
CCCUAGUAACGGCGAGUGAAGCGGCAACAGCUCAAAUUUGAAAUCUGGCGCAAGCCCGAGUUGUAAUUUGUAGAGGAUGCUUCUAGGUAGCGACCGGUCUAAGUUCCUUGGAACAGGACGUCAUAGAGGGUGAGAAUCCCGUAUGUGACCGGCCCGCACCUUCUACGUAGCUCCUUCGACGAGUCGAGUUGUUUGGGAAUGCAGCUCUAAAUGGGAGGUAAAUUUCUUCUAAAGCUAAAUACCGGCCAGAGACCGAUAGCGCACAAGUAGAGUGAUCGAAAGAUGAAAAGCACUUUGGAAAGAGAGUUAAAAAGCACGUGAAAUUGUUGAAAGGGAAGCGCUCACAACCAGACUUCUGGGCGGUGUUCCGCCGGUCUUCUGACCGGUCUACUCGCCGUCCCGAGGCCAACAUCAUCUGGGACCGCUGGAUAAGACCUCAGGAAUGUAGCUUCCCUCGGGAAGUGUUAUAGCCUGUGGUGAUGCAGCGCGUCUCGGGUGAGGUCCGCGCUUCGGCAAGGAUGUUGGCGUAAUGGUUGUCAGCGGCCCGUCUUGAAACACGGACCAAGGAGUCUAACAUCUAUGCGAGUGUUCGGGUGUCAAACCCCUACGCGUAAUGAAAGUGAACGGAGGUGGGAAGCGCAAGCUGCACCAUCGACCGAUCCUGAUGUCCUCGGAUGGAUUUGAGUAAGAGCAUAGCUGUUGGGACCCGAAAGAUGGUGAACUAUGCCUGAAUAGGGUGAAGCCAGAGGAAACUCUGGUGGAGGCUCGCAGCGGUUCUGACGUGCAAAUCGAUCGUCAAAUUUGGGUAUAGGGGCGAAAGACUAAUCGAACCAU